rnacentral:rRNA from 1 species
UACGAAGGGGGGCUAGCGUUGUUCGGAAUCACUGGGCGUAAAGGGCGCGUAGGCGGCUUUGUAAGUCGGGGGGUGAAAGCCUGUGGCUCAACCACAGAAUUGCCUUCGAUACUGCAUGGCUUGAGACCGGAAGAGGUUAGUGGAACUGCGAGUGUAGAGGUGAAAUUCGUAGAUAUUCGCAAAGAACACCAGUGGCGAAGGCGGCUGACUGGUCC